GGAGAUAUCAAGAAUUAAGCUCAGUUACAGCUAUAUAAUAAACCACAAAGUCAUACCUCCAAAGACAAGGAAGAGAAACAAUGACAUUGUAUUACAUUUUAAACCCUGGAAGAGAAACAAUGACAUUGUAUUUCAUUUUAAACCCAAUUUUCUUUCUAUGCUUGAGGCUUUUCCAGUUUUAUUCUCAAUUCUACAACUUCCCUACAUCAUCUACCUUCU
rnacentral:lncRNA from 1 species